GUUAGGAAUAUUGGACAAUGGGCGAAAGCCUGAUCCAGCCAUGCCGCGUGAACGAUGAAGGCCUUCGGGUUGUAAAGUUCUUUAGCCGAUGAUUAUAAUGACUGUAGUCGGAAAAUAAGCCCCGGCUAACUUCGUGCCAGCAGCCGCGGUAAUACGAAGGGGGCGAGCGUUAUUCGGAAUCACUGGGCGUACAGCGUGCGUAGGCGGUUUUGUAAGUUAGGAGUGAAAGCCCAGGGCUCAACCUUGGAAUUGCUCUUAAAACUGCAAGGCUCGAAUCUCGGAGAGGAUAGCGGAAUUUCCAGUGUAGCAGUGAAAUGCGUAGAUAUUGGAAGGAACACCAGUGGCGUAAGCGGCUAUCUGGACGAGUAUUGACGCUGAGGCACGAAAGCGUGGGGAUCAAACAGGAUUAGAAACCCGUGUAGUCC
rnacentral:rRNA from 1 species